UACUGUUCUCCAUCGUGGGCGUACCAAUUUACAUUCCCACCAGCAGUGUAGGAGAGUUCCCUUUUGAGAGAUUAAUAUUUAGUAAGCUACCGAGUGUAAGAAUCAGGUCUGGACUCCAGAACCCAUGCCCUCAACCACAUUCAAUUUGGCACCCCCGGCCUCUGAAGUACCAGACAGGGCUGCAUCUUGGGGAAGGUGCUGGCUCUGAUGGGGAUACAUUUAAGCCGAGGAAACACUGAGAGCAAAGCGCAUGCAGACUUGUGGCAGUGGGGACAGUGAGUAAUAUCCAGUGGGGCAGCCAGUGAGUAUGGCAUGUGAGGCUGGAGAUGAGGUGGGCACCACCCGUGGCGGGCUUCGGAUGUCGGGGGGAGGCUGUGGACGUGCCCUGGGCCUGUGGUAAGGUGGCUGACUGGCUGCUCAGACAGUAGUGGUAACUGAUGGGUCCUGGGGGCGCUGGGUACUGUUUAAGGAACUUUGGGGAUGGGGGAUUUGGGGCAAGAUCUGGUCCCUGAGACACAGGGCAAGCCAGGCCUGAUGUCAGGCUCGGGGUAAGGCACGCAGGUCUCAGGCAGCAGUGUCAGGAGCUCAGUGGUCCCUGUCCCUCUGCAAGACAGCCCUACCCACCCAUCCAUGCCUCAGCCGCCUGCCCUGAGCCCUGCCGGGUUACCUCAGAGUUCUGAGGAAGUGGCAGUUCCACACUCACCCAGGACCUAACCAACCCGUGGGAGCUCCCGUCCUCCAGCACUGAGUGUCCUCAGGGCUGGUUGGGCAUAGACUGGGGUCCCUACAGGGGUGACUCUGAGACCCCCAUACCCACAGCUUUCUCCCCUGCUGCAAGGCCCUGGGAGGAGUGUGACUGCUCCUGACCUGCCUUCAUGGGACGGGCAGGGUUGGGACCCCGUCCCAGUCAGGUUGGGGUGGGGACUGGGCUGGCCCACCGAUGUUCCUGUUCUGAGCUGGAAAGGGAAGGAGGAGCCAGCGAGGCAGAGCUUUGAGAGGAGUGUGGGGCUCCUGAGCAGCACAGCCACCUCCUGCCGGCUCUGGAGCCUUCGGCAUGCAGCAGUGCCUCCAUGCUCAAGGCCCCUGCUCUGCCCUGCCUCCCAGCCCCGGUGCCUGCAGGGACUCCCUCACCCCCCAGCACUGCAGCCUCAAGCCAUGGGGCCCAGGUCAGAGCCAGGCUGAGGAUUCCCCGGGAGAAGAGAAGGACCUGGGCUAUCUGCAGCAGUGGCUGAAGGCCUUUGUGGGUACCUUCGAGAAGAGCAUCUCACUCUCCUCUCUGGAGCCACGCAGGCCGGAGGAGGCAGGUGCAGAGGUGCCGCUGCUCCCUCGGGAUGCGCUGCACGUGCUGGCCGAGCGGCUGGACGAGGGGGACCUGGAGCAAGCCCUGCUGCUGCUCAAGCUCUUCGUCAUCCUCUGCAGGAACCCGGAGAAUGUAGAGGCAGGCUGGGGCCAGGUGCUGGUGCCCCGGGUGCUGGCGUUGCUGACCUGCUUGGUGGCCAAGCUGAAAGGACCCCCACCACCGGAGAAGGGCCAUGGGUCCCAGCUGGAAAACGUAGCCCUGCAUGCCCUGCUCCUCUGUGAGGGCCUCUUCGACCCCUACCAGACCUGGCGGCGCCAGCACAGUGGGGAAGUCAUCAGCUCCAAGGAGAAGAGCAAGUACAAGUUCCCUCCUGCGGCUUUGCCCUGUGGAUUCAGCACCUUCUUCCGAGAGAGCCUGCAGGAUGCAGAUCACUUGCCGCCUGUGCUCCUGCUGCGUCUCAUCCAUCUCUUUGGUGCUGUCCUUGCAGGAGGGAAGGAGAACGGGCAGAAGGCUGUGAGCGCUGGCACUGUUCAGGGCCUGCUGGAUGUGGUGCGGGGCUGGGGCCACGGGCCAGCCCAGGACCCCCGCCUAGUGCCGCUGGCACUGGAGGCACUGGUGGGUGCGGUACAUGUCCUGCACGCCAGCCGCACACCCCCCCGGGGGCCAGAGCUCCGAGCCCUGCUUGAGGGCUACUUCCGUGUCCUUAAUGCCGACUGGCCAGCCGGGCCAAGCCUGGACCCCGAAGAGGCCCUCAUCGCCCUACGGGUCAGCAUGCUCGAUGCCAUCCCCAUGAUGCUGGCAUGUGAGGACCGGCCAGUGCUGCAGGCCACCUUCCUCAGCAACAAUUGCUUUGAACACCUUAUUCGCCUCAUCCAGAACAGCAAGCUGUACUUGCAGGCCCGGGCGCCCCCUGAGGGGGACAGUGACCUGGCUACCUGGUUACUGACCGAGCCCGAUGUCCAGAAGGUACUGGACCAGGACACAGACGCCAUUGCAGUCCACGUAGUCAGAGUGUUGACCUGCAUCAUGAGCGGCUCCCCCUCCGCCAAGGAGGUGUUUAAGGAGCGCAUCGGCUACCCUCACCUGCAAGAGGUUCUGCAGAGUCACGGUCCCCCCACCCAUCGACUGUUGCAAGAGCUGCUCAACAUGGCUGUGGAGGGCAACCACAGCACGUGUCCGCCACCACCAAUCCGCAAUGAGCAGCCGGUGCUGGUGCUAAUGCGGUGGCUGCCAGCACUGCCCACAGCUGAGCUGCGGCUCUUCCUAGCACAGCGCCUCUGGUGGCUCUGUGACAGCUGCCCUGCCAGCCGUGCCACGUGUGUCCAGGCCGGUCUGGUGGGCUGCCUGUUGGAGACACUCAGCGAGGGGGCAGCCCUGGGGGCCCGCUGCCAGGAGCAGCUGCUGGCGCUGCUGCAAGCAUUGGGCCACGUGUCACUAAGGCCCUUGGAGCUGCGUCGCCUGCUUCGUCCCCCAGCAGGUCUGGACUCAGGGCCGGGUGGAGCUGAGGCCGGGGCUGCCCGACACGCAGGUGCCACCAUCCGCGCGCUCUCAGGCAUGGCCCGGCGCCAGGGCCCGGCACGAGCCCUGUGCUACUUUGACCUCACGCCCAGCAUGGCGGGUAUCAUGGUACCCCCUGUGCAGCGAUGGCCAGGACCUGGCUUCACCUUCCAUGCCUGGCUGUGUCUGCACCCCACGGCUGUAACACCUGCUCCGGGCCCCACCCGGCCGCUCCAGCGAAAGCAACUGUACAGCUUCUUCACCAGCAGCGGCUCAGGGUUUGAAGCCUUCUUCAUGGCGGCUGGGACCCUGGUGGUGGCCGUGUGCACCCGGAAGGAGUACUUGACCAUGAGCUUGCCUGAAGUGUCCUUUGCCGACUCUGCCUGGCACUGUGUGGCCAUUGUCCAUGUGCCCGGGCGCCGGCCCUUCAGCCAGAACCUGGUGCAUGUCUACAAAGACGGCCAUCUGGUGAAGACGGCACCCCUUCGCUGCCCCUCCCUUAGUGAGCCUUUCUCCUCCUGCUGUAUCGGCUCUGCUGGGCACCGCACAACGACCACCACCACGGGCCUACCUGCGCCACCUGUCCCCGCUGCCCUGGCUCACACUCACCCCUCCCUCACCCGCUCCCAGUCAGUCCCGGCCACCACAGGGCUUGGCUGGGGGUCCGGGCUGGUGGCCCCUCUGCAGGAGGGCAGCAUCAGCUCCACCCUCGCAGGCACACAGGACACUCGGUGGGGCAGCCCCACAUCCCUGGAGGGCGAGCUGGGGGCUGUGGCCAUCUUCCAUGAAGCCCUGCAGGCGGCAGCCCUGCGGGUCCUGUGCACCCUGGGGCCCAAUGAGACAGCACCCUUCAAGCCCGAGGGUGAACUGCAUGAACUUGGCACCAAGCUGCUCCUCCAUUACUCACCUCAGGCCUGUAAGAACAACAUCUGCCUGGACCUGUCCCCUGGUCACGGGCUGGAUGGCCGCCUGACAGGCCACAGGGUGGAGACCUGGGACGUGAAGGAUGUGGUGAAUUGCGUGGGAGGCAUGGGUGCCCUGCUGCCCCUGCUGGAACGAGUGGCUACACAGCCCCAAGAAGCCGAGGCAGGUCCAGCAGAAACACAUGACCUUGUGGGGCCCGAACUGACCUCUGGCCACAACGCCACCCAGGGACUGCUUCUCCCACUGGGCAGGUCCUCAGAGGAGCGAAUGGAGAGGAAUGCAGUGGCUGCCUUUCUGCUGAUGCUGCGGAACUUCCUACAGGGCCAUGCUGUGAACCAGGAGAGCCUGGUGCAGUGCCAGGGGCCUGCCAUCAUUGGGGCCCUCCUGCGCAAGGUCCCCAGCUGGGCCAUGGACAUGAAUGUGCUCAUGUCUGCCCAGCUUCUGAUGGAGCAGGUGGCAGCCGAGGGCGGUGGGCCCCUCCUGUACCUGCUCUACCAGCAUUUGCUCUUCAACUUUCACCUCUGGACCCUUAGUGACUUUGCUGUGCGCCUGGGCCACAUCCAGUACGUGUCUAGCAUAGUCCGUGAGCAUAGACAAAAGCUGCGGAAGAAGUAUGGGGUCCAGUUCAUCCUCGAUGCUCUGCGCGCUCACUACAGCCUACAGCGGGAGCACCCCCUAGCGGCUGAUGACCUGCGCACAGUGCAGACUUCACUCCUGGGCCUGGCGCGGGAGUUUCUGGUCCGGAGCUCUUCCGCUGAUGACCUGCAGGUGGUGCUGAACUUUCUGGCAGCUGCGGGUGAUGAUGGCCAGGUGCUGGGUGCGCUGGACCUGCUGCUGGCACUGCUGCAGGGCUCGCCAGCACAGGAGUCUUUGGCUGUCUUCCUGCUGGAGCCAGGGAACCUUGAGGUGCUGCUGGCACUGCUGGUGCGGCCAAGGCCCAUGCCCUUGCUGCCCGACCGAGUCUGCAAGAUCCUGCGCAGACUGCAGCAGAAUGAGCGCUUACCUGAGCGCAGCCGCCAGCGGCUCCGGCUGCGAGAGUGUGGCCUCCAGGGUCUCGUUGCCUGCCUGCCGGAGGGGGCUGUUUCCCCCCAGCUCUGCCAGGGCCUCUUCAAGCUGUUCCUGGGGGCAGAUUGCCUGAACCUCUCAGAUCUAUUGGCUGUGGUGCAGCUGUCCCUGCAGGCUGACCUCAGCAUCCGCCUAGACAUCUGUCGUCAGCUCUUCCACCUCAUCUACGGACAGCCAGACGUAGUGCGGCUGCUGGCCCGACAGGCCGGCUGGCAGGAUGUGCUGACCCGGCUGUUUGUCCUGGAAGCCGUCACAGCUGGCAGUCCCCUGCCCUUUACCCCCGAGCCACCCACCUCCCCGGAGCCAGCCUUACACAAGCCACCCACUGAGUCACCUGAGCCUUCGGACGUCUUCCUGCCCGCGGAGGUCCCCUGCCCUGACCCUGACGCCUUUUACCAGGCUCUUUCCCCAUUCUCCACACCCUUUGAGCUGGGCCCGGAACGGGCCAGUGUGAGUUCAGGCAAUACUGCUGGCGGUGGCAGUGGCAGUGGGACUCUCACUCCAGCCAGCCAGCCUGGCACCCCUUCCCCGCUGGAUGGGCCCCGGUCCUUCCCUAUUGCCCAGGGCCGCCACAGCUCCAGUCUCUCCAAUGUGCUGGAGGAUGGCAGCCUGCCAGAGCCCACCAUCAGUGGGGAUGACACCUCUAAUACAAGCAACCCUCAGCAAACCUGUGAGGAGGAGCUUUGUAACCUGCUCACCAACGUGCUGUUCUCGGUGACUUGGCGGGGAGUGGAUGGCAGUGACGAGGCUGCCUGGCGGGAGCGCGGCCAGGUCUUCUCCGUGCUCACCCAGCUGGGGGCCUCGGCCACGCUUGUGCGCCCACCAGACUGCAUCAAGCGCAGCCUCCUGGAGAUGAUGCUGGAGUCAGCCCUGACCGACAUCAAAGAGGCCCCCCUUGGGGUCCUAGCCAGCCUCACCCAGCAGGCGCUCUGGCUGCUGCGCCUGCUGCAGGACUUCCUGUGUGCCGAGGGCCACGGUAACCAGGAGCUGUGGAGUGAGAAGCUCUUUGAAGGUGUGUGCAGCCUGCUUGAUCGCCUGGGGGCCUGGCUGCACCUGGCCGAUGGCACAGCAGAUCUCCGAGAGAUGGCACAGAUUGGCCUGCGCCUCGUGCUUGGCUACAUUCUGCUGGAGGACCCACAGCUGCACGCCCAGGCCUAUGUAAAGCUGCACGCACUGCUGCAGACUGCAGUGCCCAUGCGCCGGGAGGAGGCUUGUUAUGUGCUCUCCAAGCUGGAGGCGGCGCUGGCACGGGCGCUGAACACCCCAGCCUCAGAGACCCCCACCGGGGACGGGGAGCCCCCAGCUGCAGCCGCUGCUGCAGAGCGCUGCUCAUGGCUGGUACCGCUGGUGCGCACACUGCUGAACCGUGCCUACGGGCCCCUGGGGCUGCAGUGGGGGCUGCCUUCCCUGCCUCCCACCAACGGCAGCCCCACCUUCUUCGAGGACUUCCAGGCCUUUUGUGCCACCCCCGAAUGGCGUCACUUCAUCGACAAGCAGGUGCAGCCCACCAUGUCGCAGUUCGAAAUGGACACCUACGCUAAGAGCCACGACCUCAUGUCAGGCUUCUGGAAUGCCUGCUACGACAUGCUCAUGAGCAGUGGGCAGCGGCGCCAGCGGGAGCGGGCACGCGGUCGUCGGGCCUUCCAGGAGCUGGUGCUGGAACCUGCACAGCGGCGGGCACGCUUGGAGGGGCUGCGGUACACAGCGGCCCUGAAGCAGCAGGCAGCGCAGCAUUCGACCGCCCUGCUGCACUGGGGGGCGCUGUGGCGUCAGCUCUCUAGCCCCUGUGGGGCCUGGGCCCUGAGGGACCCGCCCACCCCCCGCUGGAAGCUCUCCAGUGCCGAGACAUACUCGCGCAUGCGUCUGAAGCUGGUGCCCAACCAUCACUUCAACCCUCACCUGGAAGCCAGUGCCCUACGCGACAACCUGGGUGAGGCCCCCCUGACACCCGCAGAGGAGGCCUCCCUGCCUCUAGCAGUGACCAAAGAGGCCAAAGUCAGCAGCCUACCCGAGGAGCUGCAGGAAGACCAGCUGGGUGAGGAUGAGCUGGCUGCGCUGGAGACCGCGUUGGAGGCCGCAGAGCUGGACGAGCAGCAUGAGAAGCUGGUGCUGUCAGCUGAGUGCCAGCUGGUCACAGUGGUGGCUGUGGUCCCAGGGCUGCUGGAGGUCACUACCCAGCACGUGUAUUUCUACGACGGCAGCGCUGAGCGUGUGGAAACCGAGGAGGGCAUCGGCCAUGACUUCCGGCGCCCACUGGCCCAGCUCCGCGAGGUCCACCUGCGGCGUUUCAACCUGCGCCGUUCGGCGCUUGAGCUCUUCUUCAUUGAUCAGGCCAACUACUUCCUCAACUUCCCCUGCAAGAUGGGUGGGGCCACGGCCUCAUCUCCAUGCCAGGCCCCCAGGCCCCAACCCUGCCCCAUCCCACCCCACACCCAGGUGCGGAACCAGGUGUACUCGUGGCUCCUGCGCCUGCGACCCCCCACCCAAGGCUACCUGAGCAGCCGCUCCCCCCAGGAGAUGCUGCGCGCCUCAGGCCUUACCCAGAAAUGGGUACAGCGUGAGAUCUCCAACUUCGAGUACCUGAUGCAACUCAACACCAUUGCGGGGCGGACCUACAAUGACUUGUCUCAGUACCCUGUGUUCCCCUGGGUCCUACAGGACUAUGUGUCCCCAACGUUGGACCUCAGCAACCCAGUCGUCUUCCGGGACCUGUCCAAGCCCAUCGGUGUGGUGAAUCCCAAGCAUGCCCAGCUUGUGAGAGAGAAGUACGAGAGCUUCGAGGACCCAGCGGGCACCAUUGACAGAUUCCACUAUGGCACCCACUAUUCCAACGCAGCAGGUGUGAUGCACUACCUCAUCCGCGUGGAACCCUUCACCUCCCUGCACGUCCAGCUGCAGAGUGGCCGCUUUGACUGCUCUGACCGGCAGUUCCACUCGGUGGCAGCAGCCUGGCAGGCCCGCCUGGAGAGCCCAGCCGAUGUGAAGGAGCUCAUCCCAGAGUUCUUCUACUUCCCUGAUUUCCUGGAGAACCAGAACGGCUUUGACCUGGGCUGCCUGCAGCUGACCAACGAGAAGGUAGGCGACGUGGUGCUGCCCCCGUGGGCCAGCUCUCCUGAGGACUUCAUCCAGCAGCACCGCCGGGCUCUGGAGUCAGAAUAUGUGUCCGCCCACCUCCACGAGUGGAUCGACCUCAUCUUUGGCUACAAGCAGCGGGGGCCAGCUGCAGAGGAGGCCCUCAACGUCUUCUAUUACUGCACCUAUGAGGGGGCCGUGGACCUGGACCAAGUGGCAGAUGAGCGGGAACGGAAGGCUCUGGAGGGCAUUAUCAGCAACUUCGGGCAGACACCCUGUCAGCUGCUGAAGGAGCCACAUCCAGCUCGGCUUUCAGCUGAGGAAGCAGCCCAACGCCUUGCACGUCUGGAUACUAACUCACCUAGCAUGUUCCAGCACCUGGACCAGCUCAAGGCCUUCUUCGCAGAGGUCAUCAGUGAUGGCGUGCCCCUAGUGCUGGCCCUGGUUCCCCACCGGCAGCCCCAUUCCUUCAUUACCCAGGGCUCUGCAGACCUUUUGGUGACUGUGAGUGCCAAUGGGCUACUGGGCACCCACAGCUGGUUGCCCUAUGACCGUAAUAUAAGCAAUUACUUCAGCUUCAGCAAAGACCCCACCGUGGGCAACCCCAAGAUGCAGCGACUGCUGAGUGGCCCUUGGGUGCCAGGUGGUGGUGUGAGUGGGCAGGCCCUGGCAGCAGCCCCAGACGGAAAGCUGGUGUUCAGUGGCGGCCAUUGGGAUGGCAGCCUGCGGGUGACGUCACUACCCCGGGGCAAGCUGUUGAAGCAGCUCAGCUGCCACCUCGAUGUAGUAACCUGCCUUUCACUGGACACCUGUGGCAUCUACCUCAUCUCAGGCUCCCGGGACACCACAUGCAUGGUGUGGCGGCUCCUGCAGCAGGGUGGUCUCUCGGUGGGGCUGGCAUCAAAGCCUGUGCAGGUCCUAUACGGGCAUGAGGCUGCAGUGAGCUGUGUGGCCAUCAGCACUGAACUUGACAUGGCGGUGUCUGGAUCCGAGGAUGGAACUGUGAUCAUCCACACUGUACGCCGUGGCCAGUUUGUGGCCGCACUAAGGCACCCAGAAGCCACGUUGCCUGGACCUGUGUCCUACCUGGCGCUGGGGUCUGAGGGCCAGAUCCUGGUGCAGAGCUCAGCGCGGGAGCGGCCGGGGGCCCAGGUCACCUACUCCUUGCACCUGUACUCGGUGAACGGGAGGUUGCGGGCUUCACUGCCCUUGGUAGAGCAGCCCACAGCCCUCGCGGUGACGGAGGACUUUGUUCUGCUGGGCACAGCCCAGUGUGCCCUGCACAUCCUCCAUUUGAACAAACUGCUGCCGGCCGCGCCUCCCCUGCCCAUGAAGGUGCCCAUCCGCAGUGUGGCUGUGACCAAGGAGCGCAGCCACGUGCUCGUGGGCUUGGAAGACGGCAAGCUUAUCGUGGUGGGCGCAGGGCAGCCCUCUGAGGUGCGCAGCAGCCAGUUAGCGCGGAAGCUGUGGCGAUCCUCCCGGCGCAUCUCCCAGGUGUCCUCUGGGGAGACAGAGUACAACCCUGGAGAGGCGCGCUGACAGCCUGCCCUGCCCUGCCCUGCCCCGCCGCGCAGCUCCGCCCCCAGCGGGCUUCGCCCUGGGAGGGCCCCGCCCAGGAGUCCAAGGAGAGGGUGACAUCCAGCCCACACUCUGGCAGGGGGUGGGCGGGGCCCCACCUCUGCCCAGCUCAGGGAUUGGUGGGCGAUAUCACUCCUGGAAGUCCCGCCCCUCGCCGGCAGAGGGGCCUCCCGGAGUCCCAGCGCUGGCCUCAGCAGCCGCACAGCACUUUUUGCACAGCCUGGGGUGGGGAGCCCAGGUUCCCAAGCCCCGUCCCGGCAGAGUACAGGGGCCGGGCCGUGGCCUUAAUCCUAAGGGCGGUCCCCCGCUCUCGCAUCUCCGCAAUAAACCUGGACUAGUUUUGUAGCUGUUCCGCCUCCAAGCAUAUGUGCACGCGCGGCGUCUCAACCCGCCCUGGCCACAGCCCCGGCCUAGCGUCCUCCUGGUCCAUGAGCACCUGCGGCGACCCGUCCCCUCCCCAACCACACCGCCCUAGUCCCUAGGGGCCCCGGCUGCAGUUUCUCCGGCAGCUGCACGCUCAGUCCCCCUCCGGGCUCACCUCCAGGCCUGUGUGCGUUCCGGGGCCGGGCGGGGCAAGACCGUGGGCGGCCCCGCCCACUCGGUGUCCAGUCCUCCUCCUGUCUGCGCCGCCGCUUUAGUCUCGGGCGGGUAAGAACCUGGUAUCCCCAGGGACUCCACUCUGUCUUACCGGCCGGCCCAAGGCCCGGAGGCCCCGUCCCGCCCGGCUGAGCAGAUCCUGGGACCCGCGGAGGGUCGGCCCCCACAGGUCAGGAGCGGGUUGGGGACAGAGCUUCGGGUCUUUCUGGACGGAGGGAGCCAAGGCUGCCUCUCUGCCCCCCAUUUCCAGACCCGAAAUCCUGUGCGGUUGGAUUGCCUGUGGGAAGUCGGGGUAGUGUGUGCGUGUGUGCAUAUUCUGUGGGCCUCGAGAUGGGUGUGUGUGGGAGUUGGUAGAGGCUCCAGUCCCACAGCUCGGGGUGGGUCGGGCACAAGGCUUGGCUGUCUCUGCGACCGUUAGUCACAAGCUCACCCGCCAACCCGGAUCCAGAAAGGGCCCCUUAUGUGGCAAAGUCCCCUCCUCUGCCCAGACCAGGGUCUCUUCCCCAGGCCUCAGGAGGUGGGUCUCAGCAGGAUCAGCCUUGUAAGUACAGAUGGGUCCUGGAUUGAGUGUUCUUCAGGUUUCUGGCCUCCAGGCCCUCUCCAAAUUCCCAGAUGAGAAAGGACCAGGGGGAGCCUCUGGGCCCACAUGCCAUCUGCCCUUGCUGAACCCACCAAGGAACCCUCCUGUCCAGCCCCUGAGCAGGAGGUGAGGGCUGGACACUGACCCUAGAGGCAGGAGGGGGAGCUUAGUCACUCCAGGGACUAUGCUGUUGCUGACAACUCUGGAAAGCCUCCUACCAGCUAGUAAGUCUCUACCUGGCUCUGGCUUAGAUGGGGAUGGGAGUCUCCCUGUGCUAUCCCUGGACUCAGACCAGGGGUUUGCCAUGGUCUUUGAGACAGGGUGGUUUCCAGUGUGCCCUUUUCCAUCCAGAGCUGCAAUAUGGUCUCCUCCAGCUUUGGCCAGCUGGGGCCAGCAAUAUCACUUCCACCCCAUUUGACACUGGAGGAAACUGGUCCAGAUUGGUGACUGGGGAGAUUGGGGGGUAGGUACCCAGUCCUGGAAUGAAUCAGGAUGAAGUGAGCCAGGAAAGUGGGACAGACUACCCCGAGGGACUCCUGACUUCAGGCUUGAGGGAUUUCCCCCAUGUCCCUAUACACAGCCCCUUCUGGACUCAGAAAAGUCUCCCAGCUCCUUUUUCUGAGUGCUGCCCAUGACAUUCCAACCCCUUCUCUAAGAUGCAGCCACUGGGAGCACUGCUAGCUGGCAGAACCAUGCUUCACAACUCCAGCCACAGGGAAGGCACGGUGCAUGUGGGUUAAGUACUUCUUGAUCCAGAUUUUGGGCACUGAGAGGGUAGGAUGACAGGUACCCAUGGGCCCCUGGCCUUGCAGGCCAUACACAAGUCCAGUCACAGGCUUUGGAGUCCCUGUUUCUUGUGCCCUGCCUGCACUGGAUUGUGGGGACAACUGGCCUGCAGGCAGAAGUUAGCAGCAGCAUUUACUUGCCUUUCGGAUCAGUUUUAUUUUGCAAAAAUCUACAAGGUCUCCUCUGCAAAGAGGCUCCCACAGGGACCAAAAUGAAUCAGUGUGCUCUCACAGUCCAGAGUUGGUGGGGGAGAGAGGACACAGUUUAGUGCCAUAGUAGGCAGAGGAGAUGCACCAGGAGCCAGAAAAGGGAGCCUGGGAGAGAUCAGGAAAGACUUCCCAGAGUAGAUUUCCUGCCAGUUUGUCAGAUGGCAAAGGUAGACUAGCAAGAGCAGACGUCUGGAAGCCCGGAGAAGGUACAUCUGGGAAGG